rnacentral:lncRNA from 1 species
GUAACGGAGGCCUGCGUUAGUGAGACCCGGCCUGCCGCAGGUUCCCACUUUGUGACCCAGCUGCUAGGAUACGCUAUGGUCACCCAUGACCCUGAACUGGAAUAAUUGGGCACAGAGUGAAGAAAUUACGAGUCAUACAGCUGAAGUAUGCACAGAAAAGAUUUCAACCUCAAAUAAAAUCUGGAACUGAAGUUUCACUCCCCUCAUGGAACAAAUGUAUCAAGACUUGGUCAGAACUGAAGGCCAGAACACUUUCAAAAGUGAAGGGGUACAAGCUCAGGAAUGUUAGGUGUUAAGAUCCCUUACCAUACUUUACCAUAUAUGGUCUUGUUUAAAGUUCUUCCAAUCAAGACCUACCCACCAGCACUUCUGCAUACCAGCCUGCUCUCUCUAACCCAGAAAACUUGCCCCAGACUCCAGAAUGGGGAGAUGGAAUUGAGCUUUGUCUCCUGCCUCCUCGCCGCCAACCCCACAAUAAAACCUUUUUUUUUCUUAAAAAC